GCAAUUCAUUGUUACACAGAAUAAUUAAUCUAGCUGUUUUACAGGAGUGAGGUCAAUAAGGGGCAGCAUGCCCUGGUUCUGUUCAUGAAUGCUGAUGUUGGUAUACUGCGUGUGGUGUUUACUACAAGUGUUCUUAACGCCUAUAUGGAGAGUUAAGAGAGGAGUGAAAUGAGAGACCUCUUCCCCUGGAGCCGUGGCCCCACAGACCCUGCCCACCGGGCCUGUCCUGUGAUUGAGCGUGCCUAGUGGUAGGGGAGCCGGAGAAGCUAGAUGGAGAGCGGCUGCGUCCCUGCAGUGCACUGCCCUCGCGGAGCUC